rnacentral:rRNA from 1 species
CCUACGGGUGGCAGCAGUGAGGAAUAUUGGUCAAUGGGCGCAAGCCUGAACCAGCCAAGUCGCGUGAGGGAAGACGGCCCUACGGGUUGUAAACCUCUUUUGCCGGGGAGCAAGCCUGAGCACGUGUGCCCAGGCGGAGAGUACCCGGAGAAAAAGCAUCGGCUAACUCCGUGCCAGCAGCCGCGGUAAUACGGAGGAUGCGAGCGUUAGCCGGUUUUAUUGGGUUUAAAGGGUGCGCAGGUGGAGGCACAGGUCAGCGGUAAAAUCGCGGGGCUCAACCCGGCUCCGCCGUUGAAACUGUGUCCCUUGAGUGCGCGAAGGGUAGGCGGAAGGCGUGGUGUAGCGGUGAAAUGCAUAGAGAUCACGCAGAACACCGAUCGCGAAGGCAGCCUACCGGCGCGCAACUGACGCUCAUGCACGAAAGCGUGGGUAUCGAACAGGAUUAGAUACCCCGGUAGUC